rnacentral:rRNA from 1 species
GACGAACGCUGGCGGCGUGCUUAACACAUGCAAGUCGAACGGAAAGGCCCUGCUUUUGUGGGGUGCUCGAGUGGCGAAGGGGUGAGGAACACGGGAGUAACCUGCCCUUGACUUUGGGAUAACUUCAGGAAACUGGGGCUAAUACCGGAUAGGAGCUCCUGCUGCAUGGUGGGGGUUGGAAAGUUUCGGCGGUUGGGGAUGGACUCGCGGCUUAUCAGCUUGUUGGUGGGGUAGUGGCUUACCAAGGCUUUGACGGGUAGCCGGCCUGAGAGGGUGACCGGCCACAUUGGGACUGAGAUACGGCCCAGACUCCUACGGGAGGCAGCAGUGGGGAAUAUUGCACAAUGGGCGGAAGCCUGAUGCAGCAACGCCGCGUGCGGGAUGACGGCCUUCGGGUUGUAAACCGCUUUCGCCUGUGACGAAGCGUGAGUGACGGUAAUGGGUAAAGAAGCACCGGCUAACUACGUG